rnacentral:tRNA from 1 species
GCUCCCGUAGCUCAGUUGGUUAGAGCGUGAUGCUUAUAACGUUGAGGCCACCGGUUCGAGCCCGGUCGGGAGCA